AAGGCCUACCUACAACCCACAGAAGGUAUAGGUGGUUCCAAUUGUAGAGAGUUUCGUCUGCUACUUGUGAAUUGAAGCUUGGAGGUUGAGCUAUGGAGAGAAAGUUUCUUCGUGGUGUCUUACUAUUGUUAACCCUGCUGCUUGCAUCUCAGGAGAUGGUGGAUGCGAAAAUGUGCAAGACUCCAAGCCGGCAAUUCAGAGGGUUGUGUCUCAUCGGUCGCAAUUGCGAUAAUGUGUGCAGGGGGGAAGGCUUCCCGGACGGUGACUGCGACGGGUUCCGUCGCCGCUGCAUAUGCUCCCGGCCUUGUCGUCCAUGAUUUCAACAAAUAUAUAGUGCAGCAGCAAAGCUACCUGGCUUCAUCAGAUGAAGGCGUGAAGCUGAAUAAAUGUGGUCUACUGAGUCAAUAGUGGUCUCAAGUAUUAAAUAAGGUCGCGAAUAUCUCUGUUUGUACUUGUAGCAGUGGUCCCUAUAUGCUUUAAUUUGUAGCGUUGCUCUGUUUAGCUUCUGAUGAGAAGUUACCUUUCAGUAGAUAU